rnacentral:rRNA from 1 species
UACCUGCAGCUCAAGUGGUGGCCGUUAUUAUUGGGCCUAAAACGUCCGUAGCCGGUUUAUUAAAUGCCUGGGUAAAUCGGGCCGCUUAACGGUUCGAAUUCCGGGUAGACUGAUAGACUUGGGACCGGGAGAAGCUAGAGGUACUCCUGGGGUAGAGGUGAAAUUCUGUAAUCCUAGGGGGACCACCAGUGGCGAAGGCGUCUAGCUAGAACGGGUCUGACGGUGAGGGACGAAGCCCUGGGGCGCAAACCGGAUUAGAUACCCGGGUAGUCCAGGGUGUAAACGCUGCUUGCUUGAUGUUAGUCGGGCUCCGAGCCCGAUUAGUGUCGGAGAGAAGUUGUUAAAGCAAGCUGCCUGGGAAGUACGGCGCAAGACUGAAACUUAAGGAAUUGGCGGGGAGCACAGCAACGGGUGGAGCGUGCGGUUU